rnacentral:lncRNA from 1 species
UGGACAAAUGCAGGUCAUCCACAAAGUGAACAAUAAAGGACCACAUAGUUUUAGGGGGAUGUCAACUGCAUUUCCUGCUGCUUAUUUUAAUUUUUUUAAAUUCUUCUUAGAAAAAAAUUAAUCUCUAUCUGUACAUUGAUAUAUCUACCAGAUGAGUAAGAUCUGCAAGCAUGUUCUUAGUACAUGAUCAGUGCCUCCAAUAUCCUUUCAAUUCCUUUUAGUUGUCAAAGUUAACUCUGAUGCUCAAAUACUCAGAAGGCCUAUGUUGCUCGGACUCUUCAAAAGUGCCAACGGGUGCAUGUCGGAUUCGCCAAAAGUAGUGUAUUUUUGGAGAAUCCGAGACGGGUGCGGCAUCAAAAGUGAAGAGUCCGCACAACUAAGCAGAAGGCUGCCAGAUAACUUCGUGAUUAAAACCAAAAAACGGCUAACCAGAUUACUAGCCCACUGCCCACUGGUAAUGGGAAUUGAACCUAUACCUGAGCUAUCGCCUAAAGAAUUAAAUGUCUGAUCAUGCCCUGAGUUGAUGACCAUGCAUGCUAUCAAUUCUGAGCUUUAGCUUUAUGAAAAACCCUUCUUUGGUCACAAGUACAGAUACAGUAAUGGUGGGAGAUAAAUUGGCCAAUGUUUGACAUUAAAUGAGUUACAAUCCCGUGAUCUCAAACAAUCUAGUUCUCACGACCCACAGAUCAUAAUUAUAAGCUAAACGUUCAAUUCGUAUAGUUGAUUCUUCUUGACCCUAGUUGAAAUUUACUGCAGCA